CCACGCGGACGACCGCGUGCGCUCGAUCAUCAACGGGGACGGCCCCA
rnacentral:ncRNA from 1 species